rnacentral:rRNA from 1 species
AAUAUUGGACAAUGGGCGAAAGCCUGAUCCAGCCAUGCCGCGAGUGUGAAGAAUGUCUUCGGUUUGUAAAGCACUUUCAUUAGGGAGGAAGGGCAGUAAGUUAAUACCUUGCUGUUUUGACGUUACCGCCAGAAUAAGUACUGACUAACUCCGUACCAUCAGCCGCGGUAAUACGAAGGGUGCAAGCGUUAACCGGAAUUACUGGGCGUAAAGCGCGCGUAGGUGGUUUGUUAAGUUGGAAGUGAAAGCCCCGGGCUCAACCUGGGAACUGCUUUCAAAACUGGCAAGCUAGAGUAUGGCAGAGGGUGGUGGAAUUUCCUGUGUAGCGGUGAAAUGCGUAGAUAUAGGAAGGAACACCAGUGGCGAAGGCGACUACCUGGACUGAUACUGACACUGAGGUGCGAAAGCGUGGGGAGCAAA